GAUGAACGCUAGCGGCAGGCUUAAUACAUGCAAGUCGUGGGGCAGCGCAGUGUAGCAAUACAUGGGCGGCGACCGGCAAACGGGUGCGUAACACGCACGCAACCUUCCCGUUACUGGGGAAUAGCCCAGGGAAACUUGGAUUAAUACCCCAUAAGAUAAUGAGAUGGCAUCAUCUUAUUAUUAAAGCUUCGGCGCUAGAAGAUGGGUGUGCGGCUGAUUAGGUAGUUGGCGGGGUAACGGCCCACCAAGCCUACGAUCAGUAGCUGAUGUGAGAGCAUGAUCAGCCACACGGGCACUGAGACACGGGCCCGACUCCUACGGGAGGCAGCAGUAAGGAAUAUUGGACAAUGGACGCAAGUCUGAUCCAGCCAUGCCGCGUGAAGGAUUAAGGUCCUCUGGAUUGUAAACUUCUUUUAUUUGGGACGAAAAAAGAUCAUUCUUGAUCACUUGACGGUACCAGAUGAAUAAGCACCGGCUAACUCCGUGCCAGCAGCCGCAGUAACAC
rnacentral:rRNA from 1 species